UUAGAUCUGAAAGCGUCAAUAAUCAUUAAAAAUAAUCGUCUUUCGAAGAAAAAUAUAAAAAUAGGGGGUAAGGUCUGACGGAAAUGGUCUAUUCCUGAUAGUCGUGAUAAAAAGUCGUGACGGGUUGCAGUUCUGACCGGUGGAGUCCGGGUGUGUACGACGCGCGCAGUUCUGACGGGUUGCAGUUCUGACGAUGUACGACGCGUGCUGUUCUGACGGUCCCCAGUUCUGACGAGGUGUGCCGUUCGUUUUCGACAUUUUCGUUCAAAGUUCAGUGGGCAUCUUCUGCCAAAAUUGACGAGCGGGCCAAUUCGGGUCGAGAGUGUUUGAUAGUGAUAUAAGGUGGAUAAAGUAUAGCUAGUGAAUUGUGACGACUUUUUAAUCCCUUUUAAUUUAAUUUUAAUUAAUAAUUUAAGCUAGUGAAUUGUGACGACUUUGUGGAGAAAAUUGUGAGAAGAAACAGAUUAAUCAAUAUUCCGAAAAAA